GACGAACGCUGGCGGCGUGCCUAAUACAUGCAAGUCGAGCGCUGAAGGUUGUUACUUUUACCAACUGGAUGAGCAGCGAACGGGUGAGUAACGCGUGGGGCAUCUGCCUUUGAGCGGGGGACAACAUUUGGAAACUAAUGCUAAUACCUCAUAAAAACUUUAAACACAAGUUUUAUGUUUGAAAGAUGCAAUUGCAUCACUCAAAGAUGAUUCCGCGUUUUAUUAGCUUGUUGGUGAGGUAAAGGCACACCAAGGCGAUGAUACAUAGCCGAACUGAGAGGGAGAUAGGCGACAUUGGGACUGAGACGCAGCCCAAAACCAUACGGGAGGGAGAAGUAGGGAAUCUUCAGAAAUGGAAGAGAGUCUGACAGAGAAACGCCGCGGGAGUGAAGAAGGGUAUCGGAUCGUAAAACGCUGUUGGUAGAGAAGAACGAUGGUGAGAGUGGAAAGCUCAUCAAGUGACGGUAACUAACCAGAAAGGGACGGCUAACUACGUG
rnacentral:rRNA from 1 species